AUACGUAGGUGGCAAGCGUUGUCCGGAUUUACUGGGUGUAAAGGGCGCGUAGGCGGGCAGGCAAGUCAGAUGUGAAAUCUCCGGGCUCAACCCGGAAAUUGCAUUUGAAACUGCAGGUCUUGAGUAUCGGAGAGGCAAGCGGAAUUCCUAGUGUAGCGGUGAAAUGCGUAGAUAUUAGGAGGAACACCAGUGGCGAAGGCGGCUUGCUGGACGACAACUGACGCUGAGGCGCGAAAGUGUGGGGAGCAAACAGGAUUAGAUACCCUGGUAGUCCACACUGUAAACGAUGAAUGCUAGGUGUAGGGGGUAUCGACCCCUUCUGUGCCGCAGUCAACACAAUAAGCAUUCCGCCUGGGGAGUACGGCCGCAAGGUUGAAACUCAAAUGAAUUGACGGGG
rnacentral:rRNA from 1 species